rnacentral:sRNA from 1 species
AAUAUUAGGCAACAGAGUUUCUAAGAGUGGACAGCUCCAAGAAGGUUGUGAAGUAAUCUGUAACUGAUUGUCGGGGCUGCAUCCCCUUUUCAAAGCGGUUAUACAUUCCACUCCAAAACCUGGAAAGGACGGCAAAGCGUCAUGAUACCACCUUAUCACAGUCUGAAAAUUCACAUCCUCCAGUCUUCUAAGGUAUCUGUGAUACCACAGUCUUAAUAAUAACCAAAUGCAAAUUUCAGCCUCAAAAAGCCACUACUUAAUGUAA